rnacentral:rRNA from 1 species
GUUAUCGUUUAUUUGAUGGUACCUUACUACUUGGAUAACCGUGGUAAUUCUAGAGCUAAUACAUGCUAAAAGCCUCGACUUCGGGAGGGGUGUAUUUAUUAGAUAAAAAACCAAUGCCCUUCGGGGCUCCUUGGUGAUUCAUAAUAACUUAACGAAUCGCAUGGCCUUGUGCCGGCGAUGGUUCAUUCAAAUUUCUGCCCUAUCAACUUUCGAUGGUAGGAUAGUGGCCUACCAUGGUUUUAACGGGUAACGGGGAAUUAGGGUUCUAUUCCGGAGAGGGAGCCUGAGAAACGGCUACCACAUCCAAGGAAGGCAGCAGGCGCGCAAACUACCCAAUCCCAAUACGGGGAGGUAGUGACAAUAAAUACUGAUACAGGGCUCUUUUGGGUCUUGUAAUUGGAAUGAGUACAAUUUAAAUCUCUUAACGAGGAACAAUUGGAGGGCAAGUCUGGUGCCAGCAGCCGCGGUAAUUCCAGCUCCAAUAGCGUAUAUUAAAGUUGUUGCAGUUAAAAAGCUCGUAGUUGAAACUUGG